UACAGAGGUCCCGAGCGUUGUUCGGAUUCACUGGGCGUAAAGGGUGCGUAGGUGGCCAACUAAGUCAGACGUGAAAUCCCUCAGCUUAACUGGGGAACUGCGUCUGAUACUGGAUGGCUUGAGUUUGGGAGAGGGAUGCGGAAUUCCAGGUGUAGCGGUGAAAUGCGUAGAUAUCUGGAGGAACACCGGUGGCGAAGGCGGCAUCCUGGACCAACACUGACACUGAUGAGCGAAAGCCAGGGGAGCAAACGGG
rnacentral:rRNA from 1 species